UCUUCCCGCGUUAAAGGGGACAAAUCAAGCUGCUCAUUCCAUCAUUGGUUCUACCGUCCUACGCUGCUCCAUUCCAUCAUCUCCCCCUUGUAUUCUCCAGAGAAAAUCUUUUUCAUUCGUUAUCAGCAACUUUGUUCCGUAUAAGGGUUUAUCUCUCGUGUGUUUUCGUCGCAAAAAAAGUGUUGAUUCUCAACUUGAAACUGGAAGGGCACAGCGAACCUCUAAUGGAUGUGGAGCCAUGGGCUAUAUCCUUCCGCUUUCUAAGAGACACUACAAAUGAUUUCUCUGAAGAGCGAGUGAUUGGCCAAGGUGGAUAUGGCAUUGUUUACAAGGGGGUCGAUAGGGAUGGACCGGUCAUUGCUGUGAGGAAGCUCUAUCCCAUAAGAGAAAUUGAUGAUGAGCAGCUCCAGAAGGAGUUUACGGGCCUCAAGAUGCUCAAUCAUCCAAAUAUUGUACGAUUACUUGGCUACUGCUAUGAACAAGAACAAUUUCUUAUACCGUACAAAGAAAAAAAAAUAUUUGCUCCUCGAAAAAUUAGGUUGUUGUGCUUCGAGUACAUGAAAAAUGGAUCCCUUGAUCAGUACAUCAAAGAUGCUAGUUCUGGACUCAGUUGGCACGGACGGUACCAGAUAAUCAAGGGCAUAAGCGAAGGGUUAAGAUACCUCCACGAGGGAUCGAAGACUCCUAUUAUCCACAUGAAUCUAAAGCCUAGCAAUAUUUUGCUGGAUCAUAACAUGACACCGAAGAUAGCUGAUUUUGGUCUGCGAAGGCUCGUUGGAGAAGGAAACGCCAGAUGUAUCGGAACAAUUGGAUACAUGUCGCCGGAAUUCAUUGAAAGACAAGUAAUCUCGCAUAAGUGUGACAUAUAUAGCCUUGGUGUUAUAAUCAUAAAGCUGAUAACAGGGGAGAGAUUAUAUUCGGGGCAUUUUGAUAUGUCUUCAGAUAGGUUUAUCGAGCUGGCGCAUGAAGAAUGGAGGGAGAGGCUACAGAAAACUUUGAAUGGUAUGUCAGUUGAAGGAUAUUCCCAGCAAAUUAAGAAAUGCUUGGAGAUAGCACUGAAAUGCGUGGAGUUAGACAGACACGAGAGGCCCUCCAUCGGAGAUAUCAUAGAUAGGCUGAACGAAACUGAAACCUUGAUUCCAGAAGAAGUUCGAGCAGUACAUAACCGGAUUGAUUCAACACACUCUGAGCUGCUUGAAGUCCACCCACAAGAGCUCUACUUCCCAUUCAUGUUGAAAGGAAGAUACGAGGCCAUGAGCUCCUGCUCGCUGCAGCUAAAGAACAGAGGAGACAACCGCGUGGCAUUCAUGCUUGUAGCCAGCAACCCCGAUAGAUACUUGACGAAGAUACCGCUCUGCGGCAUUGUGCCUCCAAGGUGCGUCUACACUCUCAGUCUCACAAUGCUCCAGCAGACAGCAUCAACAUCAUCAUCGGACAGCAGCGACUUCUUCACACUGUACACCACCGCAGUGGGACAACACGACCUCCUAGAUGUUCCCAAAGAUGUUGUCUCCGUUGAGUAUGACUACUUCUUUAAGAAAGCCCAAAAGAUGCCCGGUGCCAGAGAUAAGGUGCAAGUGGCGACGUUGAAGGUCAUCUGUGAUCGACCAGCCACCAAAUCUGCAGGGAGAUCACCUUCGCCCGAGGUCAUAAUCAGGUCGGAUGCUCAGCAAGUUUCAUCCAUAGAUGUGCAUCCAACGGAACCAUGGAUUAUGGCAACGAAUCGCUUGGGAAACCUUUGUGUUUGGAACUACAAUACAAUGGCACCGUUGAACUCAAUUGGAGACAUCACAGAUGAACCAGUUCAUAUGGCAAAAUAUAUCGCACGGAAAAAGUGGCUCGUGGCGGGUGAUGGCAACGGGGGCAUCCACGUGUACAACUACGACAAGAACCAACACGUCAAGAGCUUCGAGGCUCAUGAAAGUUGCAUCACAACUUUGGCCGUCCAUCGGGCACGUCCUUUUAUCUUGUCUUCGUCUUCUGAGGACAAUGAUCACCUGAUCAAGCUUUGGGAUUGGGACAAAGAGUGGAAAUGUACUCGAACAUUUCAGGGCCACACUGAGAGGGUAACACAAGCAACGUUUAACCCACAAGACAACGACAGUUUCGCUAGCGCUUCUUGGGAUGGCACGGUCAAGAUAUGGAGUAUUUGUCCUGAUGACGCCAACAUCAUCACACUGAAAUUGGAUGGGAAUGUAACCGAAGGCCUGCUUUGUGUUCAUUAUUUCACCCGUUUUAAUGGACAACAUCUGAUCGUGGGUUGUGAGGACAAGACAACACAGAUAUGGGAAUUGGGGAUGAAAGAAUGUGUUCAUAAGCUAAAAGGGAAUACAGACCAUAUUAGUGCCGCCAAAUGGCACCAAGGACUUGCGCUUUUAAUCACAGGUUCACUUGACGGAACCGUAAACUUGUGGAGCUCCAUUACCUAUAAGCUUGAGAACGUGAUCGAUUUCAACCUUGGUGCAGUUUAUGCUCUCGGAUGUAUAGAAGACUCAAGAAGGAUCGUGGUCGGAUGUCACCAAGGGAUAGCAAUAAUGGAUAUUUGGCACCAAUACAAGACAAACGGGAAAGGUAGAAAAUAUUGAUGGAAUCUUUGAUGCCG
rnacentral:rRNA from 1 species